rnacentral:lncRNA from 1 species
CACAGUAUUCUAUUAUUCCUAUACUAUGCUUAUACAUACUCUAUAUAGACAGUCACAUACUAUCAACAUGGAGUUUGUCUGUCAGGGCCUGAAAUAAUGUUCCCAAAGUUCCAGAUCAUGGUGAUCGGCAGUCAUGACUUUCCCUGCUUUUUCAGGUUGGAAACCCUGCUUUUCCGCCGAUCAUAAGCAAUUUCUUGCCUAUUAUUGAUUGGUGAUCAGUUGUUAUUUCAAGCCCUGGUCUGUUGAAAAAUUUAACUGGUUCAAGAUGCAAUGGACCUGUCUCAAGCCAAUGAGAUCAGACCCGAUAUUUGGCAUCAGCUUUUGUCUACAAAGCCUGAA